rnacentral:rRNA from 1 species
CGCAUCUGUGCAUGCAGCAUAUCAAUAAGCGGAGGAAAAGAAACUAACAAGGAUUCCCCUAGUAACGGCGAGUGAAGCGGGAAGAGCUCAAAUUUGAAAUCUUAAAGGGUUUCCCUUUACGAAUUGUAGUUUAAAGAAGUGUUUUCUGUUGAGGUUUUGGUAAAAGUUCUUUGGAAUAGGACAUCAUAGAGGGUGAGAAUCCCGUAUUUGACCUUUACUUUCAACUUUGUGAUACACUUUCAAAGAGUCGGAUUGUUUGGGAAUGCAGUCCAAAAUGGGUGGUAAAUUUCAUCUAAAGCUAAAUAUUGGCGAGAGACCGAUAGCGAACAAGUACCGUGAGGGAAAGAUGAAAAGAACUUUGAAAAGAGAGUUAAACAGUACGUGAAAUUGUCAAAAGGGAAGCGUUUGACACCAGUGUUGUUUUUCUGAAAAUCAAUUAAAGAACUGUUUAUGCUAAGUCUGUUUAGACUUUAUCAGCUAAUCUGUUUAGUUUUGAGCUUUUCUUUAAUGCACUUUUCAGUUAACAAGUCAACAUCAAUUUCUUUUGCUGUAAAAAAGCUUGAGGAAGGUGGCUUGAGAUUCGUCUUAAGUGUUUAUAGCCUCUUGCCUAUGCAGUCGGAGAGAUUGAGGUCUGCAGCGUAGAUCCUUCGGGGCUAAAUGCAUUUGUGCUAAGUUAUAGCAUUUUAUAGACAACUUGUUGACUAUGAUUUGUCUUGUAGCUUACUCGCUUAUGUUAUUUUACCUACGCUUAGGAUGUUGAACGCGCACAGAGUCUC